rnacentral:rRNA from 1 species
GAUGAACGCUGGCGGCGUGCCUAAUACAUGCAAGUCGAGCGAACAGACGAGGAGCUUGCUCCUUCGACGUUAGCGGCGGACGGGUGAGUAACACGUAGGUAACCUACCUAUAAGACUGGGAUAACUUCGGGAAACCGGAGCUAAUACCGGAUAAUAUUUCGAACCGCAUGGUUCGAUAGUGAAAGAUGGCUUUGCUAUCACUUAUAGUUGGACCUGCGCCGUAUUAGCUAGUUGGUAAGGUAACGGCUUACCAAGGCAACGAUACGUAGCCGACCUGAGAGGGUGAUCGGCCACACUGGAACUGAGACACGGUCCAGACUCCUACGGGAGGCAGCAGUAGGGAAUCUUCCGCAAUGGGCGAAAGCCUGACGGAGCAACGCCGCGUGAGUGAUGAAGGUCUUCGGAUCGUAAAACUCUGUUAUUAGGGAAGAACAAACGUGUAAGUAACUGUGCACGUCUUGACGGUACCUAAUCAGAAAGCCACGGCUAACUACGUG